rnacentral:rRNA from 1 species
UACGUAGGAGGCAAGCGUUGUCCGGAAUUACUGGGUGUAAAGCGCGUGUAGGUGGGAGGCCAAGUCUGUGGUGAAAUCGCCCGGCUCAACUGGGCGCAGUCCAUGGAAACUGGUCACCUGGAGGACGGUAGAGGCGAGUGGAAUUCCCGGUGUAGUGGUGAAAUGCGUAGAGAUCCGGAAGAACACCGGUGGCGAAGGCGGCCCGCUGGGCAGGAAGACACCGCAAGGUGUCGGCUGACGCUGAGGCGCGACAGCGUGGGGGAGCAAACAGG